rnacentral:rRNA from 1 species
AGUGAACGCUGGCGGUAGGCCUAACACAUGCAAGUCGAACGGCAGCACAGGAGAGCUUGCUCUCUGGGUGGCGAGUGGCGGACGGGUGAGGAAUACAUCGGAAUCUACUCUGUCGUGGGGGAUAACGUAGGGAAACUUACGCUAAUACCGCAUACGACCUACGGGUGAAAGCAGGGGAUCUUCGGACCUUGCGCGAUUGAAUGAGCCGAUGUCGGAUUAGCUAGUUGGCGGGGUAAAGGCCCACCAAGGCGACGAUCCGUAGCUGGUCUGAGAGGAUGAUCAGCCACACUGGAACUGAGACACGGUCCAGACUCCUACGGGAGGCGGCAGUGGGGAAUAUUGGACAAUGGGCGCAAGCCUGAUCCAGCCAUACCGCGUGGGUGAAGAAGGCCUUCGGGUUGUGAAGCCCUUUUGUUGGGAAAGAAAUCCAGCUGGCUAAUACCCGGUUGGGAUGACGGUACCCAAAGAAUAAGCACCGGCUAACUUCGUGCCAGCAGCCGCAGUAA